rnacentral:tRNA from 1 species
GCCUGGGUGGCUCAGUUGGUUGAGCCUCUGACUUCAGCUCAGGUCGUGAUCUCACAGUUCGUGGGUUUGAGCCCCAUGUUGGGCU